GACGAACGCUGGCGGCGUGCUUAACACAUGCAAGUCGAACGGAGAGGCCCUGUUUUUGUGGGGUGCUCGAGUGGUGAACGGGUGAGUAACACGUGAGUACCCUGCUCUAGUCUUUGGGAUAAUUUCAUGAAACUGGGGCUAAUACCUCAUAGGAGCUCCUGCUGCAUGGAGUGGGUUGUAAAGUUUUGGCGGUCGGGUAUGGACUUGCGGCUUAUCAGCUUGUUGGUGGAGUUGUGGCUUACCAAGGUUAUGACCGGUAGCAGGCCUGAGAGGGUGAACGGCCAAAUGGGGACUGAGGUGCGGCACAUGCUCCUAAGGGAGCCAGCAGUGGGGAAUGUUGCACUAUGGGCUGAAGCCUGUUACAGCAACGUCGCGUUCGUGAUGACGGCCUUCGGGUUGAAAUCCGCUUUCCCCUGUGAUGACGCGUGAGUGACGGUAAUUGGUAAAGAAGCACCGGCUAACUACGUG
rnacentral:rRNA from 1 species